GACAAGAUGGCGCGGCCCCGGCCCCGCUGCCUCAGGGCUCGGCCGCCAUAGCGGCCCCGGUGCUCGGCAGGGGGAAACAGCCGCGUGUUCCCUGAGGAUGGAGUCCAGCGAUUAAGAAGAACCUGUAUAUGGAUAACAGGAAUAUCUUCCACUGGAUUACACAAAACAAAAAUGAAACCCCUGCUAUUUCAACAGGGGCCUAGGAGCUUCUCCCUGUGGAAUAUGGAAUGGCAACUGAGGGGAGCAGCUGAGCAGAGCCUGGGUUUCACUUCGUGAGGUGAGGAAAGCGAAUGUGAGCAGCCCUUGGUUGAAAUGCCACCUCCACCAGCUGCUGGGGAACUCCUCACCCACAGGAAUGUUUCAUUAUCUCGGGGACACCCGUGACUUGCUGUUCCCCCCAAUGCCAGGUGGGAAUCGAGGCAGAAACAACGUGUUUCUUUCUCAGGAAAAAAAGUGUUUAUUUCUCAGAACCCAGAUGGGCUCUGCCAGCCGCGCCCAACCCCCGGUUUGUCACCUGCAAAACGGAGAGGAAUUUUUCAAGAAGUUUAAUUAGUGCAAAGUGCUCUCGGUAGCAAAAAGAGCUUUCGGUCCGAGCAUCUCGGGCCAAGUUCUCAAAUUACGGCGGCUCCAGCCAGCGAGCCAGGCGGCCGAGCCCCUGCGGGGAGCAUCGGCAGCGCCUGAAUCCGUGUGGUGAAUAAACCAGGAGCUGAGCAGGACUGCCGGGCCCCCUCACGGUGCUUUCCCCUGCGGCAGCUUUUGGACAGAGGGGACCUUCCUUCAGCUUUGGGCUUGCAAAAUGGUUUGGAAAGGGAGAGGAGGUUGUGGGAGCCAGGAGAUACAAACAACCAGAAGAUGCAAACAACCAGGAGAGUGCAAACAACCAGGACAUUACAAACAACCAGGACAUUACAAACAACCAGGAGAUACAGACAACCAGGAGAGUACAAACAACCAGGACAUUACAAACAACCAGGAGAGUACAAACAGCCCAUCCCAGGUCCCUCUGCUUCUCCCUGGGCCAUUCAUCCCAGGCUGUCAGGAAUCCAGGGCAGGCAGAGUGCUCCAGAGUGCUCUCCCAGUGAUGCUAACUCAGCUGGACAGCCUGUGCUCUGCAGGAGAAGGCAAUUUUCUUGCUGCUGCCGUGUCUGGUAGCUCAGGGCUGUACCAAAGAAAUGAGAUUUCACUUGCUGAGUCAGGGCAGUGCCCGUGUUUGACAGGAGGAGGAGGAGGAGAUGGGCUGAGUCACCUCUGCGAGUUCAUGCCCAGGCUGCUUCCCAAAAGCACAGCUCCUGAGAUGAGCCCUUCCAUCCUGGGAGGAGAGGGAGCAGGAGGGGCCAGGAGAGCAGCCUGCGUUUGUCCUGCCUGCCCUGCUCUCCUGCAGGGCUCUCCUUGCCCAGAUGUUGGGUCUCUGGAGCCACAUCUGGCUCAGAGGUGAUGUGGCAGCAGCAGAGCACAGCAGGAGCCAGGGGCUGACGGCUCCCCGUGGUUUUGCUCUCCUGGGCACGCUCACCCUGCAGUUCUGUUCCACUGGAUGUUCUCCCCACCAGAUCAGCCCUGAGGGAUCUGCAGGGAUGGUCUCCAAGCUGGGAUUUGUCACCUUGUGUCUCAUUCACGUGGGGCUGCUCAAAGCUCUGGGAAUAAAGAGCAGCUGCUGUGGGCAGAUCUGGAUGGGCAGGACCAGAGCAGCUCAUUCCCACUUAAGCUACUUCCAAAAUCAGCUGGACGUGGUGCACUAAAUCAUCUUGAAGUCCAUUAGAGGAAUUUUAUAGCACAGAAUAAAAGAGGUCCUGUGCACAGCACAGGCAGCAG